rnacentral:rRNA from 1 species
AGCGAACGCUGGCGGCAGGCUUAACACAUGCAAGUCGAACGAACCUGCCGGGCUUGGUGGCGGACGGGUGGGUAACACGGGGGAACGUGCCUUUAGGUUCGGCACAACUCAGGGAAAUAUGCGUGAAUAACGGAUGUUCCCAUCGGGGGAAAGAUUUAUCGCCUUUAGAGCGGCCCGCGUCUGUUUAGUUUGUUGGUUGAGGUAAUGGUACACCAUGGCGACGAUCAGUAGCUGGUCUGAGAGGAUGAUCAGUCACAUUGGGACUGAGACACGGCCCAAACUCCUACGAGAGGCAGCAGUGGGGGAUCUUGCGGAAUGGGCGAGAGGCUGACGCAGCCAUGCCGGGUGAAUGAUGAUGGUCUUAGGAUUGUAAAAUUCUUUCACCGGGGACGAUAAUGACGGUACCCGGAGAAGAAGCCCCGGCUAACUACGUG